rnacentral:rRNA from 1 species
AUUGAACGCUGGCGGCAUGCUUUACACAUGCAAGUCGAACGGUAACAGGCCUUCGGGUGCUGACGAGUGGCGAACGGGUGAGUAAUGCAUCGGAACGUGCCCAAUCGUGGGGGAUAACGUAGCGAAAGUUACGCUAAUACCGCAUAAGCCCUGAGGGGGAAAGUGGGGGACCGCAAGGCCUCACGCGAAUGGAGCGGCCGAUGUCAGACUAGCUAGUUGGUGGGGUAAAGGCUCACCAAGGCGACGAUCUGUAGCGGGUCUGAGAGGAUGAUCCGCCACACUGGGACUGAGACACGGCCCAGACUCCUACGGGAGGCAGCAGUGGGGAAUUUUGGACAAUGGGCGCAAGCCUGAUCCAGCCAUGCCGCGUGCGGGACGAAGGCC